AUUGAACGCUGGCGGCAGGCCUAACACAUGCAAGUCGAGCGGCAGCGGGAAAGUAGCUUGCUACUUUUGCCGGCGAGCGGCGGACGGGUGAGUAAUGCCUGGGGAUCUGCCCAGUCGAGGGGGAUAACUACUGGAAACGGUAGCUAAUACCGCAUACGCCCUACGGGGGAAAGCAGGGGACCUUCGGGCCUUGCGGGCUUGGAUGCACCCAGGUGGGAUUGGCUAGUUGGUGAGGUAAUGGCUCACCAAGGCGACGAGCCCUAGCUGGUCUGAGAGGAUGAUCAGCCACACUGGAACUGAGACACGGUCCAGACUCCUACGGGAGGCAGCAGUGGGGAAUAUUGCACAAUGGGGGAAACCCUGAUGCAGCCAUGCCGCGUGUGUGAAGAAGGCCUUCGGGUUGUAAAGCACUUUCAGCGAGGAGGAAAAGUUGGUAGCUAAUAACUGCCAGCUGUGACGUUACUCGCAGAAGAAGCACCGGCUAACUCCGUGCCAGCCGCCGCCGUAA
rnacentral:rRNA from 1 species